UCCGUUGUCGUCCAGCCCGGUUAGGAUAUCUGGCUUUCACCCAGGCGACCCGGGUUCAAAUCCCGGCAACGGAG
rnacentral:tRNA from 1 species